rnacentral:rRNA from 1 species
GUAGCAAAAUCAUUUGUUUUUUAAUUGAGAACUGGAAUGAAAGGUUUAACAAAUAUACGUGUUUUUAUUUUUUAGUAUUAAAAUUUUUAAUUUGUGUAAAAAUACAUAAAUAACUAAAAGGGACGAUAAGACCCUAAAAGCUUUAUUAUUAGGAUUUUUAUUAUUGUUUUAAUUUGAUUAUUAAUUAUAUUUUAACUGGGGCGGUUGUUUUUAUAACAAAAAUUUUUUUCACAAGUAGGGUUUAAGAUCCUUAACAUUAGGAUAAAUUGUUUAAGUUACUUUAGGGUUAACAGCAUAAUAAUGAUGGGGAGACCUUAUUCAUAUUGUUGAUUGUGACCUCGAUGUUGAAUUAAGAUCUUCUAUAUAAAGCAGAAAUUAUAUAUGAAAGUUUGUUCAACUUUUGAAAUCUU